rnacentral:lncRNA from 1 species
AUACGUUAAAGAGUAACCAGUCACUUAGGGAACCCGCGGCUGGGGACUGUUGCUGUCUCCAUGGCAAUGGCGACCUGGCCAGACCUGAGGUCCACUCGGGUCCUAGUCCUGCACUCUGGGGUUAGGGGAACCCAGAGCCAGGUGUAUGGGGACAUCAGCCCCCCAAUUUGAGGACAGGGCCGGAGCAGAAGGGGCUGGAGAGUUCUGAGAGCCGAGGAAGCAGGAAGGAGCUGUGAGAGACUGAGCUCUAACCUUGGCCAUCAAAGACAAGCUGUGCAGCUCUGGUUUUUUGAGGGCAGGACAUGGAGGGUCAGGCCCAGCUGGAGGCGCACCAAAGCCCAGAGAAAAUUCAGAACCACGUGAACUUGUUGGAUUUCAGCCCCUUGAAGCACAUGUUGCUAUUGCAGCUGCCUUGAUAACUGGGGGGACAGGAGGAGCACGGCUUUCCCAUCUUGUACGGGGACUCGCCAAUCCAGUUGCCCCUGGAAGAGAAAAGGACCCAGGGAGACAGAGGAGCAUUAGGUGAGUAACCUUCACACAGAUGUCCAGAUCUCAGCGCUGCCACUGACCAGCCCUGGGGACCUGGGGCAAGUCACAUCUGCAAGCCUUGGUUUCUUUUUUUUCUUUCCUUUAUUUAUUUAUUUAUUUAUUUUGUUUUGCUCUGUCACCCAUAGCU